CCCAGGCCUGCACGGGGGCGGGGGAGGGGGCCCCCAGGUGAAGACUCCAGGAGGGGCCUCGGGACCGCAGCGCGGCCGACACUCUAGAACCCUGAGCGAACAGAGCUGUGGUGUGCGGGCCCUCAGCCAGGGGCACUCGGUCCCCUCAGCGCCCCGCACGCCCCCUGCCAGGGAUCUGGGUGUCAGCCCCCUACCAGGGAUCUGGGUCCCGACACCGUACCGGCGCCCUCUCAGCCUUUGUAUCGCAUCGGGGUUACGUGACAGGCGACGGGCGUCAGCACCCCCGUCCCUGUUGAGAGUCACAGUUUAG
rnacentral:lncRNA from 1 species